rnacentral:tRNA from 1 species
ACUAUUUUGGCAGAAGAGUGCCUUGGAUUUAGAAUCCAAAUAUGUAAGUUUAUUACAAAUAGUA